AUUGAACGCUGGCGGCAUGCCUUACACAUGCAAGUCGAACGGUAACAGGUCUUCGGAUGCUGACGAGUGGCGAACGGGUGAGUAAUACAUCGGAACGUGCCUAGUAGUGGGGGAUAACUACUCGAAAGAGUGGCUAAUACCGCAUGAGAUCUACGGAUGAAAGCAGGGGAUCGCAAGACCUUGUGCUACUAGAGCGGCUGAUGGCAGAUUAGGUAGUUGGUGGGAUAAAAGCUUACCAAGCCGACGAUCUGUAGCUGGUCUGAGAGGACGAUCAGCCACACUGGGACUGAGACACGGCCCAGACUCCUACGGGAGGCAGCAGUGGGGAAUUUUGGACAAUGGGCGAAAGCCUGAUCCAGCAAUGCCGCGUGCAGGAUGAAGGCCUUCGGGUUGUAAACUGCUUUGUACGGAACGAAAGCUUCGGGUUAAUACCCUGGAGCCAUGACGGUACCGUAAGAAUAAGCACCGGCUAACUACGUGCC
rnacentral:rRNA from 1 species